rnacentral:rRNA from 1 species
UUGGAGGGCAAGUCUGGUGCCAGCAGCCGCGGUAAUUCCAGCUCCAAUAGCGUACAUUAAAGUUGUUGCAGUUAAAAAGCUCGUAGUUGAAUUUCGGGGUCAGUAGGCUGGUCGUGCCUCAGGUACGUACUGGUCUUACUGAUUCCUCCUUCCUGACGAACCGUAAUGCCAUUAAUUUGGUGUUGCGGGGAAUCUGGACUGUUACUUUGAAAAAAUUAGAGUGUUUAAAGCAGGCUAACGCUUGAAUACAUUAGCAUGGAAUAAUGAAAUAGGACGAUCGACCCUAUUUUGUUGGUUUCUAGGAUUGACGUAAUGAUUAAUAGGGAUAGUUGGGGGCAUUAGUAUUCAAUUGUCAGAGGUGAAAUUCUUGGAUUUAUUGAAGACUAACUACUGCGAAAGCAUUUGCCAAGGAUGUUUUCAUUAAUCAAGAACGAAAGUUAGGGGAUCGAAGACGAUCAGNUACCGUCGUAGUCUUAACCAUAAACUAUGCCGACUAGGGAUCGGAUGAUGUUAAUUUUUUAAUGACUCAUUCGGCGCCUUACGGGAAA